GUAUUGGUGGUUCAGUGGUAGGAUGCUCGCCUUCCAUGCAGGAGACCUGGGUUCAAUUCCCGGCCAAUGCA
rnacentral:tRNA from 1 species